AUUUUCGCCAAAAAUAAAGCAAAAAUAAUUCAAGAGAAAAACGCGCCGCGUGUUGCGAUUGGGGCGUAACUGCAAUGUGUGCGCACACAAUCUCAACAAGCGCUGCGAGACCCGCCGCCUGACCGUAAUGUGAAAUGGGCGGAGACGAGAAGUUUUUUUCUGUUUGAAAGUUGAUGCAAAAGCCCGUGAUUCUUUUUUUCGAGAAAUUUCUCGAGUUUUUUCCAACGAAAAAUUCAUUAAAUUUAAACCUUUUAGCUCUCCUUUCCAAUAUU
ensembl:ncRNA C37H5.16 ncRNA